CAAUACGCAACACACUUCUGAUCUUUGAGAAGAAGGCUCGAUGGAUGUAUCAUGGCGCAAGGUGAACAUUUUCAAUAAUUCAUCUAAUU